CGCGGCCUAUCAGCUUGUUGGUGGGGUAAUGGCCUACCAAGGCGUCGACGGGUAGCUGGUCUGAGAGGAUGAUCAGCCACACUGGGACUGAGACACGGCCCAGACUCCUACGGGAGGCAGCAGUGGGGAAUCUUGCGCAAUGGGCGAAAGCCUGACGCGGCAACGCCGCGCGCGGGAAGAAGGCCUUCGGGUUGUAAACCGCUUUCAGCAGGAACGAAAAUGACGGUACCUGCAGAAGAAGGUGCGGCCAACUACGUGCCAGCAGCCGCGGUGACACGUAGGCACCAAGCGUUGUCCGGAUUUAUUGGGCGUAAAGAGCUCGUAGGCGGUUCAGUAAGUCGGGUGUGAAAACUCUGGGCUUAACCCAGAGCCGCCACCCGAUACUGCUGUGACUAGAGUCCGGUAGGGGAGUGGGGAAUUCCUAGUGUAGCGGUGAAAUGCGCAGAUAUUAGGAGGAACACCGGUGGCGAAGGCGCCACUCUGGGCCGGAACUGACGCUGAGGAGCGAAAGCGUGGGUAGCAAACAGAAUUAGAUACCCUGGUAGUCCACGCCGUAAACGUUGGGCACUAGGUGUGGGCCUCAACCAACGAGGUCCGUGCCGUCGCUAACGCAUUAAGUGCCCCGCCUGGGGA
rnacentral:rRNA from 1 species